rnacentral:rRNA from 1 species
UACGUAGGGCGCAAGCGUUGUCCGGAAUUAUUGGGCGUUAAAGAGCUACGUAGGCGGCUUGUCACGUCGGGUGUGAAAGCCCGGGGCUUAACCCCGGGUCUGCAUUCGAUACGGGCUGGCUGGAGUGUGGUAGGGGAGAUCGGAAUUCCUGGUGUAGCGGUGAAAUGCGCAGAUAUCAGGAAGAACACCCGUGGCUAAGGCGGCUCUCUAGUACGGUACUGACGCUGAGACGCGAAAGCGUGGGGAGCGAACAGG